rnacentral:lncRNA from 1 species
GUUAAUCAUUGCUGGCUUUUAGUCCAGAUUGGGAGAAGGGGGAAGAAAUUUGUUUGUGACAGAAAGGCAUUAGUACCUUUCGCUAAGUGUAUCUCAGUCUCAGUUCAGUGCCAUUAAAUAUUCCUUUUUUACGAUUGGAAUAAAUCAAUAAAGAAGCAACAAAAAUUGUUCGGCGUCAUUGCUGUUUCCCCACUUUUUUUUUAAAGAGAGAGCUCCGUGAGGAGUAUCAAGAUACUUGUGUUGUCUGUGUGCAUGUGGUAGUUCCGUAAUUGUAUGUAAGUUUGUCAUAUUGUUAGCUACUGGACUUGAUUAAUUUGGAGUGCAAUGUCAAAUGCAUACAGUAGUACUGGUUUGCCU